AUUUAUUUAAUAUAAAAGUAUAUUUAACUUCCAAUUAAAAAGCCUGUAUUAAACAGAAUAAGUA
rnacentral:tRNA from 1 species